AAUAGAUACCCAGGUAGUCCACGCCGUAAACGAUGAGUGCUAAGUGUUAGAGGGUUUCCGCCCUUUAGUGCUGCAGCUAACGCAUUAAGCACUCCGCCUGGGGAGUACGGCCGCAGGGCUGAAACUCAAAGGAAUUGACGGGGGCCCGCACAAGCGGUGGAGCAUGUGGUUUAAUUCGAAGCAACGCGAAGAACCUUACCAGGUCUUGACAUCCUCUGCCAACCCUAGAGAUAGGGCGUUCCCCUUCGGGGGACAGAGUGACAGGUGGUGCAUGGUUGUCGUCAGCUCGUGUCGUGAGAUGUUGGGUUAAGUCCCGCAACGAGCGCAACCCUUGAUCUUAGUUGCCAGCAUUCAGUUGGGCACUCUAAGGUGACUGCCGGUGACAAACCGGAGGAAGGUGGGGAUGACGUCAAAUCAUCAUGCCCCUUAUGACCUGGGCUACACACGUGCUACAAUGGAUGGUACAAAGAGCUGCGAACCCGCGAGGGUAAGCGAAUCUCAUAAAGCCAUUCUCAGUUCGGAUUGU
rnacentral:rRNA from 1 species